UAUCCAUGAUGAAGUUAAAAAUGGCAAGCAUAUGGCUGAAUAUAACAGGUGAUGUCACCUUCCUGCUGAGAAG
ensembl:snoRNA SNORD27 Small nucleolar RNA SNORD27